rnacentral:rRNA from 1 species
GCGUUGUCCGGAAUCACUGGGCGUAAAGGGUGCGUAGGCGGUCGAGCAAGUCUGGAGUGAAAGUCCAUGGCUCAACCAUGGGAUGGCUCUGGAAACUGCUUGACUUGAGUGCUGGAGAGGCAAGGGGAAUUCCACGUGUAGCGGUGAAAUGCGUAGAGAUGUGGAGGAAUACCAGUGGCGAAGGCGCCUUGCUGGACAGUGACUGACGCUGAGGCACGAAAGCGUG